GGGGGUAACAUGGUGGAUGUUAUUAUAGGAUCCCAUCAGAACUCCGAAGUUAAGCGUGCUUGGGCGAGAGUAGUACUAGGAUGGGUGACCUCCUGGGAAGUCCUCAAGUUGCAUUCC
rnacentral:rRNA from 1 species